rnacentral:rRNA from 1 species
AUUGAACGCUGGCGGCAUGCCUUACACAUGCAAGUCGAACGGCAGCACGGGUGCUUGCACCUGGUGGCGAGUGGCGAACGGGUGAGUAAUACAUCGGAACGUACCUUAUCGUGGGGGAUAACGCAGCGAAAGCUGUGCUAAUACCGCAUACGCCCUGAGGGGGAAAGCGGGGGAUCGAAAGACAGCACGCGAUUAGAGUGGCCGAUGCCUGAUUAGCUUGUUGGUGGGGUAAAAGCCCACCAAGGCGACGAUCAGUAGCUGGUCUGAGAGGACGAUCAGCCACACUGGGACUGAGACACGGCCCAGACUCCUACGGGAGGCAGCAGUGGGGAAUUUUGGACGAUGGGGGCAACCCUGAUCCAGCAAUGCCGCGUGAGUGAAGAAGGCCUUCGGGUUGUAAAGCUCUUUUGUCAGGGAAGAAACACCGGCUCUAACACAGUCCGGGAAUGACGGUACCUGAAGAAUAGGCACCGGCUAACUACGUGCCAGCCGCCGCAGUAA